rnacentral:rRNA from 1 species
GACAUGUGGAGCUUCUAGAAGUGAGAAUGCCGGUAUGAGUAACGAAAGACAGGUGAGAAUCCUGUCCGCCGCAAGACUAAGGUUUCCUGGGGCAGGCUCGUCCGCCCAGGGUAAGUCGGGACCUAAGGCGAGGCCGAGAGGCGUAGUCGAUGGACAACAGGUUGAAAUUCCUGUACUGCACCGAAUCGUUAUGAGCGAUGGAGGGACGCAGGAGGCUAGCAGCGCGUGGUGCUGGAUACCACGUUCAAGCGUCAAGUCUGAGAGUGAGUCAAAUGCUUGCUCUCAUAAGGACAAGGCGUGAUGAGGAGCGAAAUUAAAGUAGCGAAGG